AGCAUGAUGCUGAAGAUAUCAAGACGGGUACCCUCCCCAAGGACA
rnacentral:tRNA from 1 species